UACAGGGGGUGCAAACGUUGCUCGGAAUCAUUGGGCGUAAAGCGCACGUAGGCGGUCUGUUAUGUCGGAUGUGAAAGCCCUUGGCUCAACUGAGGAAGUGCAUCCGAAACUGGCAGGCUAGAGUACUAAAGAGGGUAGUGGAAUCCCCGGUGUAGCAGUGAAAUGCGUAGAGAUCGGGAGGAACAUCUGUGGCGAAGGCGACUGCCUGGACCAGCACUGACACUGAGGCACGAAAGCGUGGGGAGCAAACAGG
rnacentral:rRNA from 1 species